GUAAUCGGUCUGGCUGUUGAUGUACGUUUCAUGCUAGAAAAUACUUGUCGUCUGUUGUGAAUCGUUUUGGCUGGUAUAUGAACGUUUAGUAUAGAGUCUGUGUUGCCGUGAAUAUAAGAAUAUCACAUAUGCUGGCUGCUCGAUUUCAAAACGUAUUAAACAUUAUGAUUUCGUGUUAUUACGCACGCUGGUCAUGAGUUGCUUCUUGUUUUGAGUCUGACUUGGCUAGUUUUGAAUUUAUCUUGCGUAGAGUGGAGUAGCGUUUAAGUGCUAACUUAAUAAAAUGUGUAUAACAUUCAGUAGUCCGCCUUCGG
rnacentral:misc_RNA from 1 species